rnacentral:rRNA from 1 species
GACUGAGCGGCGGACGGGUGAGUAACGCGUGAGUAACCUGCCUCAUACAGGGGGAUAACAGUUAGAAAUGGCUGCUAAUACCGCAUAAGACCACAGUACUGCAUGGUACAGUGGUAAAAACUCCGGUGGUAUGAGAUGGACCCGCGUCUGAUUAGGUAGUUGGUGAGGUAACGGCCCACCAAGGCGACGAUCAGUAGCCGACCUGAGAGGGUGACCGGCCACAUUGGGACUGAGACACGGCCCAAACUCCUACGGGAGGCAGCAGUGGGGAAUAUUGCACAAUGGGGGAAACCCUGAUGCAGCGACGCCGCGUGAGCGAAGAAGUAUUUCGGUAUGUAAAGCUCUAUCAGCAGGGAAGAAGAAAUGACGGUACCUGACUAAGAAGCACCGGCUAAAUACGUGCCAGCAGCCGCGGUAAUACGUAUGGUGCAAGCGUUAUCCGGAUUUACUGGGUGUAAAGGGAGCGCAGGCGGAAGGCUAAGUCUGAUGUGAAAGCCCGGGGCUCAACCCCGGUACUGCAUUGGAAACUGGUCAUCUAGAGUGUCGGAGGGGUAAGUGGAAUUCCUAGUGUAGCGGUGAAAUGCGUAGAUAUUAGGAGGAACACCAGUGGCGAAGGCGGCUUACUGGACGAUAACUGACGCUGAGGCUCGAAAGCGUGNGGAGCAAACAGGAUUAGAUACCCUAGNAGUCCACGCCGU